CACUAUAUUUAUUUGCAUGUGUUGUGGAUGCUAGAGAAUGAAGAUGAACACAAAAAAUGAGGUACAUGUCACUAAUGGGAUCAAGUUCGCGGGAGGUGUCGCUGGUAAAGUAGCUCAAGAAGAAAAUGAUAAACUAUAAUUGUAGAAGUGGAGUCUUUUCCCCAAACUAUAAAAAGUUCUCUGGUUAUAUCAAGUAUGAAAGUGCUUUAGAAGAUCU